AUUGAACGCUGGCGGCAUGCCUUACACAUGCAAGUCGAACGGUAACAGGUCUUCGGAUGCUGACGAGUGGCGAACGGGUGAGUAAUACAUCGGAACGUGCCCGAUCGUGGGGGAUAACGAAGCGAAAGCUUUGCUAAUACCGCAUACGAUCUACGGAUGAAAGCAGGGGACCGCAAGGCCUUGCGCGAACGGAGCGGCCGAUGGCAGAUUAGGUAGUUGGUGGGAUAAAAGCUUACCAAGCCGACGAUCUGUAGCUGGUCUGAGAGGACGACCAGCCGCACUGGGACUGAGACACGGCCCAGACUCCUACGGGAGGCAGCAGUGGGGAAUUUUGGACAAUGGGCGAAAGCCUGAUCCAGCCAUGCCGCGUGCAGGAUGAAGGCCUUCGGGUUGUAAACUGCUUUUGUACGGAACGAAAAGACUCUGGUUAAUACCUGGGGUCCAUGACGGUACCGUAAGAAUAAGCACCGGCUAACUACGUGUCAGCAGCCGCCGUAAGAC
rnacentral:rRNA from 1 species